rnacentral:sRNA from 1 species
ACCAUUCUUCAGUCAAGGGUAUACAGGUAGCUGUGCUCCCCUGCUUCAACCUCUAAACAAGCUCUCAAGUAACACAGGUUUAAGCAAAUCUUAGC